UGUUUGGGUGGAAAAUAAUAUCAUUGACACAUUUGCAAAACUGUUGAAUGAUGAUCGAGACCAGUGCGUAAAGUCGAACAUGAAAUUCUAAUUUUCGACAAUUCCUUACGUAAGAUUUAAAACAUCCAAAACCUUAUUAUUUUAUUUGUUUAUUAUUUUAUACUAGUAUAUACUUAAAAUUAUUUUCUAUAUGAAGAAUAUGCUGUUACAAAACGACGCAUAUGAUGGGACACAAGAUAGCCAAGCAACUGAGCAGAAGAGGUUUCAGAAUUUUGUGGAUUCCAUUAAGCAUGAAAUGUCAGUUGAAAAUGUUUCAUCUCUAAAGGGAUACCAUCAGGUAAAAAUGUUCUUUUUCUUUGCUAAAUGUUCUUCUUUUUUUUGGCUAAGUUGAUGUUCUUUUUUCUUUGCCUAAUGUUCUUUUCUGUUUUUGUAGUUGUUUUUUCCUUUUUUUUUUGGCUAAGUUGAUGUUCUUUUUUCUUUGCCUAAUGUUCUUUUCUGUUUUUGUAGUUGUUCUUCCCUUUUCUUUUUUUUUUUUGGCUAAGUUGAUGUUCUUUUUUCUUUGCCUAAUGUUCUUUUCUGUUUUUGUAGUUGUUCUUUCCUGUCUGUUCUGGUGCACAUUUCUUCCUCAUUGUGAUAAACAAUAAAACAAAGAAAGUUGAAAUUCUUGACAAUCUCGAUCUACCGGAGGGAAUACCUUUUGAGAACAAAUAUGAACAGAAUCCCCAAAAGACUUUUGAAGCAUGGUUGAAGUUUUGUGAGCUGGAAGGGUAUCCAUUAAAAAACACACAAAUCAAGCAAUAUGAAAUCACAUUACCUUCAAUGCCAUGGAAAAAUCAAAAAAAGAAAGUCGACUGUGGGGUGUAUGCAAUGCGGCAUAUGGAGACAUAUAAAGGCAACCCGAAUUGGGAUUGUGGAUUUACAAACUAUGAAGAUGAUAAAAAUUAUAUUCGGCAGCUAAGGAUACAUUAUGCAACACAAAUCUUAUCAAGCGCUCAGAACGAGAAGCAUGAGUUGAGAUAUCUGGCAAUGAAACAAGCAAAUCAAGUAGAAUAGACAUUACUUUUGAAACAAUGGUUUGAUAUUGGUUGUUGGUUGUUGUUUAAAAACAAGCAU